AUUACGCCAAGCUUCUCUGGGCAGCAUAGCACUGAGGUUGUUCACAUAGCUCCUUCACGUUCAUGUUGAGAGACGUGCUCAAAGUCGGAAGAAAGAACUUGAUUGCUCUGUACAACAGAUUCAGUGAAUAUCGUUGGCAUGUAUUUAGAUGGCAUUUUCACUGCAAUGCCUGGUGGAGACACCUUAAGCGCAUCUUUUGUGAAAGUUGGUCGGUCCAUGGAAACUACCAGAUCACUCCUGUUUCUUUAGCUGUUCCUAGUGGAGAAGUGCAACGUGUUUCUGAGUCAGCAAAGAGAACUCAGCACACUUCCCAACAGCCAGAGGUGCAGGCUCGGAAAAAAGACAAGCAAACCACUAGUGAGCUAAUAACAGUAGACAGAAAGGAGGAAGAUCAAAGUGAAGCAGCUUGAAACAAAGGGCCAGGUGGACACCAGAAUGAAAUGCUGAGCACUCUCUUGCUUUGGUGAUGGGGGAAGACAGCUUCAGAGCAAACGCUUGCAUGGGUUGAAAGCCACAUUCACAACAGUAGCUGCUGAUGUCAUGAAUGUCACUAAGACUGCAGUGGGCUAUCACAAGGGUGGUACAGCUCCUUCUUUUAAUCUGUAUCAGGUCUACGCUGAAGCUAUUACGUCAUGAGAAGUAUCAGAGACAUAAGUCCUGCAAAGCCAUAAUCUGUGUGAAGGCUGACGUGCUUCAAAAGCAUGGACAGGAAA